CAGCAGCCGCGGUAAUACGUAGGGUGCAAGCGUUAAUCGGAAUUACUGGGCGUAAAGCGUGCGCAGGCGGUUAUAUAAGACAGAUGUGAAAUCCCCGGGCUCAACCUGGGAACUGCAUUUGUGACUGUAUAGCUAGAGUACGGCAGAGGGGGAUGGAAUUCCGCGUGUAGCAGUGAAAUGCGUAGAUAUGCGGAGGAACACCGAUGGCGAAGGCAAUCCCCUGGGCCUGUACUGACGCUCAUGCACGAAAGCGUGGGGAGCAAACAGGAUUAGAUACCCCCGUAGUCCCUGUCUCUUAUAC
rnacentral:rRNA from 1 species